UACGUAGGGUGCGAGCGUUGUCCGGAAUUACUGGGCGUAAAGAGCGCGCAGGCGGUCGAGUAAGUCGAAUGUGAAAGCCCCCGGCUUAACUGGGGAGGGUCAUUCGAUACUGUUCGACUUGAAGGCAGGAGAGGGCAGCAGAAUUCCCGGUGUAGUGGUGAAAUGCGUAGAUAUCGGGAGGAAUACCAGUGGCGAAGGCGGCUCGCUGGACAAGUAUUGACGCUGAGGUGCGAAAGCGUGGGGAGCAAACAGG
rnacentral:rRNA from 1 species